AGUGAACGCUGGCGGUAGGCCUAACACAUGCAAGUCGAACGGCAGCACAGGAGAGCUUGCUCUCUGGGUGGCGAGUGGCGGACGGGUGAGGAAUACAUCGGAAUCUACUUUUUCGUGGGGGAUAACGUAGGGAAACUUACGCUAAUACCGCAUACGACCUACGGGUGAAAGCAGGGGAUCUUCGGACCUUGCGCGAUUGAAUGAGCCGAUGUCGGAUUGGCUAGUUGGCGGGGUAAAGGCCCACCAAGGCGACGAUCCGUAGCUGGUCUGAGAGGAGGAUCAGCCACACUGGAACUGAGACACGGUCCAGACUCCUACGGGAGGCAGCAGUGGGGAAUAUUGGACAAUGGGCGCAAGCCUGAUCCAGCCAUACCGCGUGGGUGAAGAAGGCCUUCGGGUUGUAAAGCCCUUUUGUUGGGAAAGAAAUCCAGCUGGUUAAUACCCGGUUGGGAUGACGGUACCCAAAGAAUAAGCACCGGCUAACUUCGUGCCAGCCGCCGCUGUAA
rnacentral:rRNA from 1 species